AAGAUGAAUUAGAUGGACAUUCCAAUACAGCAGGGAAAUCCACCUUGCACAAGUCAAAUUCACUGGACUACAAAGCCCACACUCCUUAAAGAGGAAUGUUGUUCAUUUGCAAUUUCUGGGGAAGUUUCUGAAAUUAAAACUUUCCUUCUUGAUUUUGAUUAAGACAUGUACUGUGUAGUUCUCUCUAUUCGAUAGGCAGCAGCACCCAGAUUUAUGUGACUCGACUGUAGCACAGUCUGCCUAGUUGUAGCAAGCUGAUUCUGACGGCCUGGACAUUGAGUAGAAAGGUUUUAUCUCCCAGUAAAGACAGUGAAAUAGUCCAUUGUUUGUGUUGUGUAGUAAAUUAAAGUAUUCCCUUGAUUACCUAUUCCUUUUUUUUUUUUUAUUGUAUUGAACAUUUUCCAUUUUGAUACCAGAACUAACAAUUACUGCACUAAAUGCUCCUUUUUUCUCAUUAGAUUUCCAUUUGUUACAUGUGUUGAAUACCAUUUUUUUUUAAAUGAAGAAUAUUGUUAUCAUAUGGCAUAUGUUUUCAUGUUUGAACACAAUAUUUUUUUUCAUCGCUGUAAAUUAAGGAUACGUGUACAUGUACAUUAUGUAUUUAUAUCAUUGUCUUGCAUAAAGUUUUCUGAACUUUUUAUCUUAAUUUAAAUGUCAUUAAAGUAUCAACAAAUU
rnacentral:misc_RNA from 1 species